UGUACUAUUUAUAUUCAUU
rnacentral:piRNA from 1 species